AACGAACGCUGGCGGCGCGCUAAUACAUGCAAGUCGAGCGAGAAGACGUAGCAAUACGUUUGUAAAGCGGCGAACGGGUGAGGAAUACAUGGGUAACCUACCCUCGAGUGGGGAAUAACUAGCCGAAAGGUUAGCUAAUACCGCAUACGAUUCCCGGACUUCGGUUCGGGAGGGAAAGCGAUACCGUGGGUAUCGCGCUCUUGGAUGGGCUCAUGUCCUAUCAGCUUGUUGGUGAGGUAAUGGCUCACCAAGGCUUCGACGGGUAGCUGGUCUGAGAGGACGAUCAGCCACACUGGCACUGCGACACGGGCCAGACUCCUACGGGAGGCAGCAGUAAGGAAUAUUGCGCAAUGGACGAAAGUCUGACGCAGCGACGCCGCGUGGGGGAUGAAGGUCUUCGGAUUGUAAACCCCUUUCGGGAGGGAAGAUGGAAUGGGGUAACCCAUUUGGACGGUACCUCCAGAAGCAGCCACGGCUAACUUCGUG
rnacentral:rRNA from 1 species